UUUUAUGGAGAGUUUGAUCCUGGCUCAGGAUGAACGCUGGCGGCGUGCCUAAUACAUGCAAGUCGAGCGAACAGACAAGGAGCUUGCUCCUUUGACGUUAGCGGCGGACGGGUGAGUAACACGUGGGUAACCUACCUAUAAGACUGGGAUAACUUCGGGAAACCGGAGCUAAUACCGGAUAAUAUUUCGAACCGCAUGGUUCGAUAGUGAAAGAUGGUUUUGCUAUCACUUAUAGAUGGACCCGCGCCGUAUUAGCUAGUUGGUAAGGUAACGGCUUACCAAGGCGACGAUACGUAGCCGACCUGAGAGGGUGAUCGGCCACACUGGAACUGAGACACGGUCCAGACUCCUACGGGAGGCAGCAGUAGGGAAUCUUCCGCAAUGGGCGAAAGCCUGACGGAGCAACGCCGCGUGAGUGAUGAAGGUCUUCGGAUCGUAAAACUCUGUUAUUAGGGAAGAACAUACGUGUAAGUAACUAUGCACGUCUUGACGGUACCUAAUCAGAAAGCCACGGCUAACUACGUGCCAGCAGCCGCGGUAAUACGUAGGUGGCAAGCGUUAUCCGGAAUUAUUGGGCGUAAAGCGCGCGUAGGCGGUUUUUUAAGUCUGAUGUGAAAGCCCACGGCUCAACCGUGGAGGGUCAUUGGAAACUGUAAAACUUGAGUGCAGAAGAGGAAAGUGGAAUUCCAUGUGUAGCGGUGAAAUGCGCAGAGAUAUGGAGGAACACCAGUGGCGAAGGCGACUUUCUGGUCUGUAACUGACGCUGAUGUGCGAAAGCGUGGGGAUCAAACAGGAUUAGAUACCCUGGUAGUCCACGCCGUAAACGAUGAGUGCUAAGUGUUAGGGGGUUUCCGCCCCUUAGUGCUGCAGCUAACGCAUUAAGCACUCCGCCUGGGGAGUACGACCGCAAGGUUGAAACUCAAAGGAAUUGACGGGGACCCGCACAAGCGGUGGAGCAUGUGGUUUAAUUCGAAGCAACGCGAAGAACCUUACCAAAUCUUGACAUCCUUUGACAACUCUAGAGAUAGAGCCUUCCCCUUCGGGGGACAAAGUGACAGGUGGUGCAUGGUUGUCGUCAGCUCGUGUCGUGAGAUGUUGGGUUAAGUCCCGCAACGAGCGCAACCCUUAAGCUUAGUUGCCAUCAUUAAGUUGGGCACUCUAAGUUGACUGCCGGUGACAAACCGGAGGAAGGUGGGGAUGACGUCAAAUCAUCAUGCCCCUUAUGAUUUGGGCUACACACGUGCUACAAUGGACAAUACAAAGGGCAGCGAAACCGCGAGGUCAAGCAAAUCCCAUAAAGUUGUUCUCAGUUCGGAUUGUAGUCUGCAACUCGACUACAUGAAGCUGGAAUCGCUAGUAAUCGUAGAUCAGCAUGCUACGGUGAAUACGUUCUCGGGUCUUGUACACACCGCCCGUCACACCACGAGAGUUUGUAACACCCGAAGCCGGUGGAGUAACCAUUUGGAGCUAGCCGUCGAAGGUGGGACAAAUGAUUGGGGUGAAGUCGUAACAAGGUAGCCGUAUCGGAAGGUGCGGCUGGAUCACCUCCUUUCUAA
rnacentral:rRNA from 1 species